UAUAGUUUAUCCUAAAAGAGAAUGACAACUUGCAAAACACUGAAGGAUAUGAUGGUUUCCUUUGACUAGCCUUUUUUUUUGGUGGGAGUUGGGGUUGUGGGGUGUCAAUUCACCCCUUCUGGUUUAAACUCUUUAAAUUAAACAGAAUUCAAAGGUAAAAGAAAUAAUUUUAAAAAUGCCAACAAACCAAAAUGAAAUUAAAAAAAAAAGCAAAAAACAAUAAGGAUAUCAGUAAAAAAAAUCAUCACUUAAAUUUAUCAUAUGAAAACAUAUCACAAAUACUUCAAUUUUACUUAAGAGAUGCUUAGCAUAUCCCAGUAUUAGGAAAGAAUGUAAGAGAAUAUUAUCUCUCCAUGUGGAAAGCUCUGCCAAUUCACACUGAGCCUGCUCUCAAUGUUAUGAGACAGAAUGAAUGUUAACCACAAAAGAGAAUAGAAGCAAAUUGUAAACACACAUUAUGGAUUAUAUAAGGAAAAUGCUAUAUGCAUUUAGAACAUACUAAAAGAAUUUUUAUUUUGCUACAGAUGAACAUGGACUUCAUUUACAUCCAUGUAUCUUAAAAGCAUUUUUGUUGUGGUUUUAGUGGGGUUUUUUGUAAAACACAUAAAAAGCAGUUUAAGAAUGGAAAAACCUAAGAUUUAUUAAUAUAAAAAAAAGGUGAAAGGAAUAUCUCCAAAAAAGAAUUGUUUUGUUUUGCUUUUGCUUUUGCUUUUGCUUUUGCUUUUGCUUUUGCUUUUGCUUUUGCUUUUGCUUUUGCUUGUUUUGGGAGGGGGGGUGUUUUAAUAAGCAUAUGCCUGUGAAUUAAACUAUAUAUUUCAUACAUGCUAUUUUUUGGGGGGUAAAAUGCAGGACACUGUUUCAGAAAAUAAGAGGCAAGAGGGGAGAGGAAGCAUCUUUUUCCUUUCUUACAAAUCCAGCUAGAUAAAGUAAUGCUAAAAAAGUUUUGCAACAGCAAAGGGCCUUUUGUAUUUCUGGUGUGUUUUACCAAAGCUUGAGUUUAAUACAAUGUUCCUUUCUUCCCUUUUGGCUUCAAGAGUUUCACUUUUGGACUUUGGAAUCAUGAAAAUGAAGGAAUUGGAUAAUGAAGUCAUAAUUCAUCAAAGAAGAUGAGUAUUUGCAUGCAUUUUAAUGAAUUCAUUAAAAUGCAUGCAUUUAAUGCACUUUGUACUUAGACUAGAAUACAUUUGAAUGCUUUGUAAAGCAUGGACAAAGCAAAUUUAUUUUAGGAUAAGAUGGUCCCAUAUCCAAUGUAAAUCUUCAAAAACAUGGAUUAUAUGCUAUUGAUCCUUCAUGAUCUUCCCAGCUCAUAUGCUAGUUCUCUUCUACAGGCUAAUUAGAAUUUUUAACAAACCCAGGUAUGAGAUGGUAUUUUAUAUCUGCAAAUAGGAGUUUUCAUAUUAUAUAUCUUACAUUAAAUAGAACCAAUAUCAUGCUUUUUGGAUAUUAAUAUUUAGGGUUUGUGAUAAUGGUUUGUUUGUGAUAAUGAAGCAUCUUUUGGUCUAGCUCUAAAUCUCAGUAUUUCUAUGUAAUGUAAUUAUAUCUAUUCCUUAUAAAUAAGGUUAGGGGAACAAGACUAAAUGCAUGCUAGUUGAUAUUAAGAAUAAGUCACAAUCCUUGCUUGCUGCAGGGUUAGUGAGGCAAAGCUAAUAAACUAAUCUAUGAAGCUGAAAACUAAUAAACCUCAGGAGCAAAAAGUAUUUCUCUCAUAAUUGAAAACGAGAUAUUUGUGAGCCAAUGGCAAUCACACUACAGAGUUCAGUGAAUAAAGCAAAGUCUCUAAAGACUGAAAAUACCAGGUAUUCAGCUUCAGGAAAGAAAGAGGAGGGCAAAGAUUUACAGAAGAGUAUAUUCAUUACAGAGAAUAGUCAUUGUUGAAACAUACAUUUCAACAAUGCCAUAUGCUGAAAUACAAAUAUGCUGAAGUAAAGGGGAAGUGUUUAUGUAAUUUAUCUUCUAUAACUUCAUAAUUUUAUUUGCACCUUACUUAGGUUUCUUGCAUUUCAGAAGAUGUAAAAUGGAUUUCAGUCUGAAGCACUGCUGAGGACAGAAAUCCUUGUUUCAUCUGGGCUGUGUUGUAGCUAUCUUUAAACAGCAAACUAGGUUUUUUCUUGUUUGGUUCCAUGGCCAUGGUCCCAGAGUAGCCACAGUGUAAGUGUGUAAGGCACUGGCCUUGCUUUAGGAACAGAUUAGCUCGCUCCCCCAGCACUCAGGCACAGAACAUAUGGUCCCUACAGCCCACCACUGCAUGGUCCAUUUAUGAAAGCCACCAGGGAGAUGCUUUGCCCCAGCUUGGCUCCUCUGAAAAGUUCAACAGCACCAUCCACCUGCACUGGGCACACAAGGCACAACAUGAGUGCCAUCUAAUCUAAAGCAGGAACUCCUCAGGCACUUUGCAUCUGAAUUUUUCCCUUUAUGUUGUUUAAUUUAGCAUUAGUGUAUAGAUUUGGAACUUGAAGACAACCAGCCUGUAUCUGUUUGCUGCAAAGUUCAGUGUUUAGUGUUAGUUUACCACCCAUGAAAGGACAUGGUCUUCACAGCAGUUAAUGAGAGGUCUGGAUUUGCAGUUUGAAAUACAUAAGGAAAGAUGUAAAAAAAGAUAUGACAAUGCCAAGGUAUGGCUGAACUCAGCAGAUCACCUCAGUUAGAAAUGACUAGAUUUUGACAGCAAUAAUUUCCAUUGCUGUUGCUUGGGCACAUUCCUUUGAUAAGAGCAAAGAGAGGACUAAAGAUGAAAAUUAAAAUUGAGGAGUACCAUAGGUGUUGUUAUAUAUUUCAGGUGCAUAUGACCAAAACAGAAUGAUCAGCAGCUAAAUAAAAGUUUAUACAGGUAACUAUUCAAGCUGUCAUAAUACUGAAAGAAAGAUGGUCAAAGUAGUGAUUGCCAGGGUAGGGUGUUUACUGUAAAGUAAGCACCUACAGCCUGUGCAGAAGGAUAAUUUCCCAUACUGAAUUGUUUACAUGUCCACAUAACCACAUUCAGUGUCUUAAUUUCAACAGAAUUCAAACUCUGACAUCAUUUGUGUCUCAUAAUCUUUUUCCCCCCAAACCCUUAUAGAGAAAAGUGAAUGUGGAGAUUGAAUAUGAGUUGAGUAUGAUGGGACACAUGAGUAAAGGGAAAUCAAGUGAUUGCUGAGGAUCCUUUUUCAGAAAUAAAAAGGAAACUGCUAUAACAGUUGUUUAACCUUUUUAUGGUAUUAUUAAAAUUUCAUAUAUAAUCAUAUUAUUACUAUGAUUAAAUUUACAAUGAGAGUAAAUAGAUUUGUUAAUGUAUCAGGACUCACUACUUCAUUGGGUGGGUGAAGUCUUCAGAGUAGGAUGGCAACUAAUAUAUAAUGUUUAUAUUCUAUUUUUCUAUAUCAAUGGAUCCUCUCACUGUGACAAGGCGAAGUCAUAGGAAGGGAACCUCAGUGCUGCCCUAGAGACUGAAGAGUUAAUGCGGCUAUUUAAUUUAGUUCCCUAAAAAAUUAAUUUAUAGUUUUUUAUAUAUGUGUAUGUUAAUCUGUCCUUAUUAGCAGCAUAAAAGAAGCUCUUAUUCCACUGCAUCCACUGUAAGUGUUUCGUACUGUACUGCAGCAUUUAUUUCCACUAAGUUUUCUAGAGAGCAAAAGAGACCAAGUAUGGACACUCCCCGUAGAACAGAAAGAAAGAAACAGAAAGAAAUUGUGCAGAUACAUUUAAACUAGCAUUUUUUCACUUAAUGGUUUAUAAAAUAGGUGAAGUUUAUUUAACAGAGAAAGAAACCAAUCUCCACCAGAAAAUCACAAAAAAAAAAAAAAAUCCCUACCUUUUCCUCUCUCUCUUUCUCUCUUUCCCUCUUUAUCCCUUUCUCAUUUUGGCAGCUUGGUAGGGUUGAACUUGCAGGUCCUUUUGAGACUUCCAAUGUUAUGCUGUCAAACAGCCUUAGAAUAAUGAAAAUAUUGGGUGAAAAGCCACCAAUUAAAAUCAAUUAGUUAUUCUGUAUUGGAAGGUAAAAUUAAGGUUCUUUGAUUGAAACUGAAAACUUAAGAAGUAUUUUAUUUAAAGACCCAGUGUAUGAAGGGGAGAAGAAUAAAAUGUCUUUAAAAUACUUCUUUCUUUUCCAGGUUAGAGCCAAUGUAUUUUUUAUUCAUUUCCUACAGAUGGCAAAACCUUCAGUAAUGAUUAAUCCCAAAACAGUCAUUCCUAUGAUGAUGAGUGCGGUUUUAAUUUACAAGCAAAUAUCUUCUUUUAUUCAUGGGAAGAAAGGGAAGAUGGGAGGAAGAACAUGGACAGCUUUGAAAUUCUUCAUGACAAGUUACUGUUACAACUAAAAGUUUGCUAUAUGAAAACAAUAUUCACAUUGUUUUUUUAUUCAGUUCAAUUAAACAUUUUGAUAGAGUUUGGAAUUGAAACUAUGAUGGCGUAUUUGCUUGGAUGUCACAUGAUUUCUGAUGUCUUUAGUGUCUAUUUGCAUUGUAUUGGAAACCUGCUGUCAGCAUUCUGGAUUAUGGUGCUUUCUCCACAUAUAUAAAUAUAAUCUAUUUUUCCACAAACAUUUCGAUGACUUGGCAGUUCCUUUCAGAGAAGGAGGUUUUCUGGAGCAGACAUGAUGAUCAGAAAAUCAAGGUGAUCAGAAAGUAUUUGUUGAUAUUUAUGUGAAAGUUUUCUCUCUCCUUUUAGAGACCUGAUGAACAGUUACUGCAACAACUUUUUGAAAGUGUUGUAAUAUUUCUUGGAGAAGGAUAACCACUAUGAAGCCUGCCUCAAAACUUAUUCUAAUGCACUCAUCAAAAUUUUACUUUAUUUGAUAGUAGCAACAAUGUGUAUUUGGUCAAUAUUCACAGCAGCAUGUCACCAAAGCCACAUACCAGUUAGCAAACACUGUUUAUAAGUCACGCUCAUUACUUUGUGGAAGGAGAUUCAGCUCUGCUGACUUUCCUGAGUCACCUAUUUACAUUAGAAAAUAAUGUGGAUAAUGCAGGGGCUGAAGAAAUAUUUACUAUGUGCUUGUUACAUUAGACUGUUCAUAUUCCUCAGAGUUCUGUGUACUACCAUUCCUUAUUUGGGGGUUCUAACAUAUACAUCUCCUUCCUGAGUUUUAGCACAAAUAUUUAUAAAUACAUUAAUCCUAGACACAUUUAAUUUAUGGUUAGUAAUUGUUUUUAAUUAUUCAGAGUAAAGCAGAAACAGGUUUUUCCCUUCUUCUCACCAUCAUAUGUGAUCAUUUAUUUUUGUUCAGAAGCUCUCUAUGAACAGCUGUGUAAUUAGGUGUAACAAAAUAAAAGAAACAACGUAGGUAAAAGCUUUUAAUGAGAUUGUUCAGGGUGAUCUUAGCUCACUGUGCCGAUUAGUCAAAAGUAAGACAUCAUUUUUGUCUUUCUAGAAAUAGCUCAAGAGCCAGUGAGUAACCCAUUACUGAUUCUAGGUUCUGAAAGAGGGGUUACUAUUUUAAUGGGAGAUACAAAAAUAAAAGCUAUAUUGUUCACUUUUUUGUUUCUCAAGAGCUCACUCUCUUUGUGUCAGCCUAUUUUCUUUGUCUGCUCCAAGUCAAUUCUGGUAAUCUGUAAUACAAAGAUUUUGCACACAUGUAACCACGGGCUACAUCCAUCAUGGUUCCUACCAGUUUAUAGAAAAGGAUUGUAAAAAACUAGGUUUUACCAGCUAUAUAAAGGUUUGCAUUCAGUGUUUGAAAAUAAGCCCUUGCUCAUUAUACUGGGAGACAGACAAUGUGGGUCCAUGGGAUUUUUCUCAGAAAGGAUUUGCUGGAAGGUCUCUCAGCUCAGCAACUUUUGGCCUUUCUCAGGUGUGAACAAAACCACUAAGCAAUUUCUAAUAAUGACUGUGAACACUUUCUACAUAGCAAAAGAGCACAAUACACAAAUGCAAAUGCAAAUUUAAAAAAACCAACAAAAAACAAAACCAAAAAAAAAACCGAACAAAAAACCCCCAAAAAAACAAAAACCAAACAGAUUUACUAGUGCUGUAAACUUCUGGGUUUUUCUCCAAACACAAAUUCAAUAGAUAGGCUACUGAAAUAAACUAUGAGUUAAAGUAGCAUCUUGGCUCAGUUCUGUACCACAGGCUCAUAUGCUUUACUGCAGGACAUAAUGAAAAUUGCAGACAAGACUGAGCUCCAUAUUUAUCUUGGUAUCUAAAAAGAUUCAAAUAUGAAUAUAUACAAAUAUGCACUUACAAACCAUAGAAUGAACUCUCUUAAGCCAUAUUUUCAGUGAGCAACAUCUUCUGAUUUCUUUUCAGCUUGAUAAGCUGAAAAGGUUCAAUUUUAGCCCCAAAGCAGCCCAAAAUGCAAAAUAUUUUGCCAUUUUGCUUGUUUUAUUCUUUUUCCUGAAAAAGAAAAUCAGAAGGAAAUGGAUGAAAGAUUUCUGAUUAAAUAAAUCUUUGACUUAUUUCCAUCCUGUACUCAUCCUGCUUAAAAAGAAAACUACUACUGAUGGCAAGACACACAGGUAGGACAACAAUCAGGAUUUUGAAAAACAUAGUUUUAUUUUCCAUGUCAGUGCUGACAGAAAUGUUACCCAUUUUUCUUAAAAUAAGUUUAAAAGGAAUGUGGUAAAUAUUUCCUUUAGGCAGUUCUGGACUGAUGAUAGAAAUGUAUCAGAACAUGGAAGAGUUGAAAGUCAAAAAUAGCCAAUGUCUUCUUAAAAUCAGACAAGCACAAAUAGCAAAAAGAAUGAAUUAGAUAAUUUUUUUAUCUAUUGUCAUAUUUUAUGAUACAGUAUAGCUAGAGUAACUCUUUAAUAUCAGUCCUGACUUGAUUAGUUUAUCAAGAUCUCAGUAUGAUGUGCUAAGUUUCUCUGUGUAGGCAAGUGAAUAACCUGCAGAACAUUAUUACUUUCACUUGCUAUUGAGUUGGGCUGACUUUGAGUGCCAUAUUCAAUUUAUUCCUCCCUAAGCAGUCUGCCUUCAAUGUCAACACUUUUCCAGUCAGCUUGCAUGGCAGGCACAAUGAUUUGUUAAAUAUUUCCUAUAAGCAGUUAUUACUGUGCUAUCAGCGUGCAUGUACUCUGCAUUACUCAUGCAGCAUGUUUAUAAAUUACAUUGUCAUCAUGAACCUCUUCCAUGAACUUUGUUUGUCCUUGCUGUCUUAAAAUACGCAUUGGUUAUCACUCAGAACUGUAACAAAUAUUCUACAAGGUCAUUCAGUGCAAAACAGAUGUUCAUAUAAUUUAUGGACAUAAACAUGUGCUUGUGCUUUAUUAGUAUAAAUAUUAGAUAAUAAAUUAAGGGAAAUAUUGUCUUGCAGGGGUACAUCAACCUAACUAUAUGUUCUGCAAUUUAAUUUAAUUUAAUUUCAGGAUUUAAAAUAUUUUUUUUUGUUUUGGUAGGGUGUUUAUUUAACACACAUAUUAGUGUAUCUGCAACAGUAUUUUAUUACUUCCUGUAUAGCUGUAAUAAAAGGUAAAGGUUACACUAAGUAGGAUUAUUCAUCAGGACAUUACUGAUGAAUAAUUACAUUCCCAUUACAUCAGGAAUUUACUGAUGAGCUUUCAUGUGUAAUAUUAAAAAAGCAAAUUUUUGUUUCCAUUACCUACCCUAAGUUACAUAGAAAAAUUUAGUAAGCAGUAAAAAUAUGACAAAAUUCAAAGUGAGUUUCAGCCUUUAGGUUGUAAUACUCAAUUACCCCUUCCUUGUAAAAAAAACCCAAAACCUCUUAAUGAGCUGUAUUAUUUGGAAAAUUAAUGAUUUUCAUUAAUGUUUGUUACAGAAAUUUUCUCAAAAAACUAGAAUACACCAAAUCCCAACAAUUUAUGAAAUAUCAUUUCUACUAUUAAAUCACAGUUCUUAGUAAGUCACCUCAAACUAGUCAGAUAUAUGAAGUUUCUCCCCUCCUCUAUAAUAAAAUUAUCGUGUGACAUUUUUUCCAAAUUAAUGAGAUGUUGCUGUUUCUUUUGGGGCUUUUUUUGAAAGAAGUCUUGAUUUGAAUUCUAGUGCCUGAUGAUUGAUGCAUUACUCAAGUGGAAGAAUAAAAGGCUUGUGC